rnacentral:tRNA from 1 species
UAGUUAAGCUCAGUGGUAGAGUACUUGACUAGCAUGCAUGAGGCCCUGGUUUUGAUUCCCAGCAUAGCAAA